GAGCACAGAAGACAAAUGUAUAUUCAAGAUAGACUGGACUCUGUCACCAGGAGAGCAUGCCAAGGACGAAUAUGUGCUAUACUAUUACUCCAAUCUCAGUGUGCCUAUUGGGCGCUUCCAGAACCGCGUACACUUGAUGGGGGACAUCUUAUGCAAUGAUGGCUCUCUCCUGCUCCAAGAUGUGCAAGAGGCUGACCAGGGAACCUAUAUCUGUGAAAUCCGCCUCAAAGGGGAGAGCCAGGUGUUCAAGAAGGCGGUGGUACUGCAUGUGCUUCCAGAGGAGCCCAAAGAGCUCAUGGUCCAUGUGGGUGGAUUGAUUCAGAUGGGAUGUGUUUUCCAGAGCACAGAAGUGAAACACGUGACCAAGGUAGAAUGGAUAUUUUCAGGACGGCGCGCAAAGGUAACAAGGAGGAAACAUCACUGUGUUAGAGAAGGCUCUGGCUGAUGGUAUCAGGACAGAGGUAGAAUCAGGCACAUGAGGAGGUGUUGCAAGAGCCUGGGCUUUGGUGCUUAUCAGAACUGGACCUUCUCCUAGCAAUUUCAGCUUUCUGGUGGGAAAGAUAACUCCAAUGAAGAACAAGAAGAUGAUGAUGAUGCUUAACUUUUUGGAUGCCGAU
rnacentral:sRNA from 1 species